CAUAUUACAUUAAUUUUCACCAAUAAAAAAAAACAUAUUACAUUAAUGGGUGUAAGUGAUGCAUGCCAGAAGCAUUAAAUACCAAAUUAACCCCCAAAAUUUCCUUAAUCCCCAUUUAACCAAAAACCACCAAAACCAACCGGCAACCUCGUAUGCAUCUCUUACAUCCCAUGAUACCAUCAUAACAUAAACAAAAUAAAAAUAUUAAAAAAAAUAUAUCAGUGGCAAAUACGUAAAGAAAUUAAGAUGCAACAUACAAAAUUUAAAUAAAAUAAAAAAUAAAAAAAGUUAAAGGUAAUUCGGACCGCUACCCUCAAUUCCCCGCAAUGCAAUGUUGACACUAUCCCAAUUCUGAUGGGCUAGAAACUAGGGAGAGUGCAAUUGCAAAGCCUUUUUUGUGUUGAUUCUUUCAUAAUCAACUUUUAAUCAUAUUUACAUUACUACCCUUCCAUCCUAUGCCACCGCCGUCUAUGACGGUGGUGACAUCAUUCGCCGCCGCUACCGGAACCGUCAAAGACACAAUCUUACAAGCCAUGUUAAUUUUUUGGGUGGUAUGAAAAAUAAUUAAGAUUGAUAAUGGACGAGUAAGAAAAUGUAAAUGGCCAAAGUAUAAGGGAUAGUGUAGUGAGAGUGAGAAUGGGAAUGAAUAAGUUUAGGGACAAGGGGUGACAUGAUGGGUCGUAUAUAAAGGCGAGAUUUUAGCUUUUGGUUCACCAUUAUUAAUUUUUAUUAAUUAAUUAUUG
rnacentral:lncRNA from 1 species